rnacentral:misc_RNA from 1 species
AUGCCAAGGUAAAGUGCUUUGUGCCGUUUUCGUAUGUGGGCUCCCUGUCUUCCGUAACUGGCGACGAAGGUGUAGUGCAGCUCUGUGCACGUGCACGACACUUUCUCUUCCCAUCUAGUCUCCGCUGGAAUGCGCCAAGGAGCCGCCAGGGGAUGCGCGUGUGUAGCCGCGCGCAGCGAUGGCCUUUGCGGGUGCAUCGCCGGUGCCAACGCGACCACCGCUGUGCGCGGUUACACUCGCGGCAUCCCCUACACUCCUCAAGGGACUAUUCAGGAUUACACGUCCUCUCCGCGUCACGUAAGGUUGGCUGAGAUGCAGCGCAAUAUCGACAGGGAGGCGAGAAGGGCGCCGACCGGACUCUACGAAGGCCCGACCAUCACCACCAAGGACGGUGCGAGGCCACUCUUUCCGCCCGAAAAAGCACGCCACCCAAACCGCGGCCCGGCCCCACGUGGAGCGCCACCGCCGACGUAUGCCCCGCAGUUUGUCGCACCGGCUGCGACGCGCGAGGACAUGAUGCCGCCGCAGCCCGAUUCCUACCAGCGCGACCUCCGCAGCGACCCCGCGUACGCAGAUGAUCCAGAGCAUAUUGUGGCGGCACGUCAGCGGAUUAUGACUAUGCAGAGCGACUCUUACGGCGAAGCGAUGCGCGGAAUGGUGGCUCCGCCGCCGCCGCUGGAUCCUGACGCGCCGCAGGCGUACCGGCAGCCUCGGGUGCAGCUGGAUGACAGCUGGUGGAUCCUGAUGUGGUCCUUUGCAGCCCUGUUCGUGGUGAUGGCCAUGUAUGGAAAGUAGUCUUAGGCGGGUUUAGUGGGUGGGAGAGAGGAGUCACGGCUGCAACGGCAGCCUUGCCGAGGGUAGAUGAUGGCGGUGGCUCACGAAUCGUUCGAACUUCACCUAUCCCUCUCUCUCUGCUCCUCUUGGAGAAGGCGCUGCUGCAAAAAGAUUCAAUCCCCGCCCCCCCGAGGGCUGUUCGUGCAGCUGCCCUGCUCGUUCCCCUCCCACUCUCUCGUACCUCUUUAUCGGAUGCGCUUCUUUAUGAGCCAUCGCGGUCUUGCCGCGUUCCUCUUCGUUAUGAACGCUUGAAUACUGCCUGGCACGUUCUCCCCCCGCUCUCUCUCCCUCUCCCGUGCGCCUGCCGGGCGCGUGCACGCGGCGUGCCGUGCGGAGGGGGGCGUCCACGUCGAAGAUAGAGCGACGCAAAUCGCGCCAACAAAAACGAAUACAAAAAAGGAGAACUCGUGCAUGCGACUCUGUGGGUGUGCUCCUCGCUUCCUCCGUCUGUGACCACCGCGCGUGUUUCAGGGAAGAGGAGGCACAAGCAGUAACAACCACAACAGAAAUGCACGAUGUCCGUGUCAUCUGCCUCCUGUGGCAUGCUCAGGAGAAGAUGUGAGGACGAAGGGGAAGGAGACUGCCACUUAAACUGCCUUCCUCCGUCGCAAUCGUUUCGCAUGCGCUCCUAACACAAACUCUCAACGACACACGUGCGCCCACGCACCCCUGUCUACCUCACGCAUGCACUCCGUCUUUUUCCUUGUGUAUCUCCGUCCCAUCGACCUCUCGUUGCAUGCUUUCAUGCAG